AGUGAACGCUGGCGGUAGGCCUAACACAUGCAAGUCGAACGGCAGCACAGUAAGAGCUUGCUCUUACGGGUGGCGAGUGGCGGACGGGUGAGGAAUACAUUGGAAUCUACUUUUUCGUGGGGGAUAACGUAGGGAAACUUACGCUAAUACCGCAUACGACCUACGGGUGAAAGCAGGGGAUCUUCGGACCUUGCGCGAUUGAAUGAGCGGAUGUCGGAUUAGCUAGUUGGCGGGGUAAAGGCCCACCAAGGCGACGAUCCGUAGCUGGUCUGAGAGGAUGAUCAGCCACACUGGAACUGAGACACGGUCCAGACUCCUACGGGAGGCAGCAGUGGGGAAUAUUGGACAAUGGGCGCAAGCCUGAUCCAGCCAUACCGCGUGGGUGAAGAAGGCCUUCGGGUUGUAAAGCCCUUUUGUUGGGAAAGAAAAGCAGCAGGUUAAUACCCCGCUGUUCUGACGGUACCCAAAGAAUAAGCACCGGCUAACUUCGUG
rnacentral:rRNA from 1 species